ACAGUUGAGGUACAGAGACAGCGUUCGCAGUCAGCUUGCUAGAGGACCUACACGGGCUCCUCAAGUUCCGCUGCUUCCUCCUCCAAGCUUGCUAGUAUUGAAAACCCAGGAGUUUGGGGUCAUUCAUCAGGAGGAUUCUGCUCCAGUUUGCCCCCUUCUUGGUCCUAGGAUACUGGAGGGCCAGAGAAAGCAAGCUUGAAACAGAGAGGAACGGGUCACUUUGGUGGAGGAAAUUGGGCCACCAAGCAGCCCUAUGGAGAGGCCAAUGUGGAGAGAAACUGAGGCCUUCCACCAAAAGCCAGCACCAACUUGCUAUCCAUGUGAGUGAACCAGCUUGCAGUACAGAGUGGUCAACCCCAGUCAAGCUUUCAGAUAACUACAAGCCUAGUUGACAUCUUGACUACAACUUCAAGAGAGACAUCAAGGCAGAACUGCUUCGCUAAACUGCUCUUGAAUUCUUGACCCACAGAAACUGAGAGAGAGAAUAAAUAUUUAUUGUUGUUUCAAGUAA
rnacentral:lncRNA from 10 species